rnacentral:rRNA from 1 species
UACGGAGGGUGCGAGCGUUGUCCGGAAUCACUGGGCGUAAAGGGCGCGUAGGCGGCGCGGGAAGUCCGUGGUGAAAGCCCGAGGCUCAACUUCGGGUCGGCCAUGGAUACUCCUGGGCUCGAGCACUGUAGAGGCAGGUGGAAUUCCGGGUGUAGCGGUGGAAUGCGUAGAGAUCCGGAAGAACACCGGUGGCGAAGGCGGCCUGCUGGGCAGUAGCUGACGCUGAGGCGCGAAAGCGUGGGGAGCAAACGGG